rnacentral:rRNA from 1 species
UACGUAGGUGGCGAGCGUUGUCCGGAUUUACUGGGCGUAAAGCGCGCGCAGGCGGCAGUCUAAGUCCUCUGUGAAAUCACCCGGCUCAACUGGGUGGCUGCGGAGGAGACUGGGCAGCUUGAGGGGCCUAGAGGCCGGUGGAACUCCCGGUGUAGUGGUGAAAUGCGUAGAGAUCGGAAAGAACACCAACGGCGAAAGCACUCUGCUGGGCCGACACUGACACUGAGAGACGAAAGCUAGGGGAGCGAAUGGG